AUCCAGCUGAUGAGUCCCAUAUGGGACGUAACAGGUGUCCUAGAU
rnacentral:hammerhead_ribozyme from 1 species